rnacentral:rRNA from 1 species
GAUUUCUGACCUGAAACAUUUUGCCGGCCACGGUUUCGUGUGUUAGUGCUUGAUGUUCUGGUCAUCCUUCCAAUCGCUGCUUGUUUUUCUUCAUUGAUUAGCAAGUAGUAUUGGAUCUUUUACUUUGAAAAAAUUAGAGUGUUUCAAGCAGGCUAUUGCUAUGAAUACAUUAGCAUGGAAUAAUAAUUUAGGACUUCGGUUCUAUUUUGUUGGUUUCUAGGACUGAAGUAAUGAUUGAUAGGGAUAGUUGGGGGUGCUAGUAUUCAGCGGCCAGAGGUGAAAUUCUUGGAUUCGCUGAAGACUAACUUAUGCGAAAGCAUU